GUCUACAGCCAUGCCACCCUAAAUGUACCUGAUCUCGUCUGAUCUCAGAAGCUAUUAGGGUCGGGCCUGUUUAGUACUUGGAUGGGAGACAAAUGAUAAUAAGAUGCAGUAUACU
rnacentral:rRNA from 1 species